AUGUGUUUCAGUGAGACGUGGCUGCAGGACCAUAUCCCCGAUUCCAGCGUCUCUCUGCCAGGAUUCCUGACUGUACGAGCAGACAGAGAUCUGAAGAGGAGCGGGAAAAGAAAAGGAGGUGGAGAGGCAGUGCUUGUCAACAACAGAUGGUGCCAUCCAAGUCAUGUUUCAGUGAAAUGUAAUCUCUGCAGCCCAGAUGUUGAACUCUUGGCAGUAAAUUGUCGCCCAUAUUAUUUGCCAAGAGAGUUGACCAGUGUUGUCUUGGCAACCGUUUAUAUUCCGCCUUCAGCCAUUGCUGAAAAUGCAUGUGAUGCCAUCAGUUCUGUUGUCGCUAAGCUACAAACCCAGCACCCCAAUGCAUUUGUGGCUAUAUCUGGUGAUUUUAAUCAUGCCUCGCUCUCUGCUACACUUCCAACAUUUCAACAGUAUGUCAGCUGCUCCACCAGAGAAAACAAGACAUUGGAUUUGUGUUAUGCAAAUGUAAAGAAUGCAUACAUGUCCAAAACAAGACCUCCUCUGGGACAAUCAGAUCACAAUCUUGUUUUUCUCUGCUCAGAACACAAAACACUUGUUCAGAGGCAACCUGUGACAAGAAGAACUGUGAGAAAAUGGUCACAGGACGCUGAAGAAGCCCUGCAGAGUUGUUUUGAGACCACAGAUUGGAUGACUGUCUGCCAAGGAUAUGAAGAGGACAUCAAUGCCAUGACUGGAUUUGUCACUGACUAUAUAAACUUCUGUGUGGUCUAUAUCAUACCCACCAGAACAGUGAGAUGCUUCGCUAAUAACAAACCCUGGAUCACCAGUGAACUGAAGAAUCUGCUAAAUGAGAAAAAAAAGAGCCUUCAUGGAGGGAGACGGGGAAUUAUUGAGGAGUAUACAGAAGCAACUGAAGAUCAAGAUCAGAGACAGCAAGGAGGCAUACAGGAAGAAGCCGGAGAACAAACUACAGAGGAACAAUAUCAGAGAUGUCUGGUCCGGGAUGAAGAAGAUCACAGGCUUCAAGCAGAGGAAGGAUUGCACAGAUGGCAGCCUGGACACAGCCAAUGA
rnacentral:lncRNA from 1 species